ensembl:misc_RNA
GGCUCUGUCCUCCUGGACAUGCCGAAGGACCGAUGCUGGGACCUUCUCCUGAAGGCGGCCACUUUGCCUGGUCCCCAAGCAUG